rnacentral:rRNA from 1 species
AUUGAACGCUGGCGGCAGGCUUAACACAUGCAAGUCGAGCGGGGUGAUGGUGCUUGCACUAUCACUUAGCGGCGGACGGGUGAGUAAUGCUUAGGAAUCUGCCUAUUAGUGGGGGACAACAUCUCGAAAGGGAUGCUAAUACCGCAUACGUCCUACGGGAGAAAGCAGGGGAUCACUUGUGACCUUGCGCUAAUAGAUGAGCCUAAGUCGGAUUAGCGAGUUGGUGGGGUAAAGGCGUACCAAGGCGACGAUCUGUAGCGGGUCUGAGAGGAUGAUCCGCAACACUGGGACUGAGCCUCGGCACAUACUCCUACGGGAGGCAGCAGUGGGGAAUAUUGGACAAUGUGGGGAACCCUGAUCCAGCCAUGCCGCGUGUGUGAAGAAGGCCUUAUGGUUGUAAAGCACUUUAAGCGAGGAGGAGGCUCUUUUGGUUAAUACCCAAGAUGAGUGGACGUUACUCGCAGAAUAAGCACCGGCUAACUCUGUGCCAGCCGCCGCAGUAA